AGACCCGAAACCCGGUGAUCUAGCCAUGGGCAGGUUGAAGGUUGGGUAACACUAACUGGAGGACCGAACCGACUAAUGUUGAAAAAUUAGCGGAUGACCUGUGGCUGGGGGUGAAAGGCCAAUCAAACCGGGAGAUAGCUGGUUCUCCCCGAAAGCUAUUUAGGUAGCGCCUCGUGAAUUCAUCUCCGGGGGUAGAGCACUGUUUCGGCUAGGGGGCCAUCCCGGCUUACCAACCCGAUGCAAACUGCGAAUACCGGAGAAUGUUAUCACGGGAGACACACGGCGGGUGCUAACGUCCGUCGUGAAGAGGGAAACAACCCAGACCGCCAGCUAAGGUCCCAAAGUCAUGGUUAAGUGGGAAACGAUGUGGGAAGGCCCAGACAGCCAGGAUGUUGGCUUAGAAGCAGCCAUCAUUUAAAGAAAGCGUAAUAGCUCACUGGUCGAGUCGGCCUGCGCGGAAGAUGUAACGGGGCUAAACCAUGCACCGAAGCUGCGGCAGCGAACGUAUCACUUAAAGCGAUUCAGCGGGUUACGAUUGACGGAGCGAAGCGACGUCAAAGCGUAUACAAAGUCGAGUCGGUUUAAGGAUACGUUCGUUGGGUAGGGGAGCGUUCUGUAAGCCUGUGAAGGUGUGUCGUGAGGCAUGCUGGAGGUAUCAGAAGUGCGAAUGCUGACAUAAGUAACGAUAAAGCGGGUGAAAAGCCCGCUCGCCGGAAGACCAAGGGUUCCUGUCCAACGUUAAUCGGGGCAGGGUGAGUCGACCCCUAAGGCGAGGCCGAAAGGCGUAGUCGAUGGGAAACGGGUUAAUAUUCCCGUACUUGGUGUUACUGCGAAGGGG
rnacentral:rRNA from 1 species